rnacentral:rRNA from 1 species
UACGUAGGGUGCAAGCGUUACUCGGAAUUACUGGGCGUAAAGCGUGCGCAGGCGGCUUUGCAAGACAGAUGUGAAAUCCCCGGGCUUAACCUGGGAACUGCAUUUGUGACUGCAAGGCUGGAGUGCGGCAGAGGGGGAUGGAAUUCCGCGUGUAGCAGUGAAAUGCGUAGAUAUGCGGAGGAACACCGAUGGCGAAGGCAAUCCCCUGGGCCUGCACUGACGCUCAUGCACGAAAGCGUGGGGAGCAAACAGG